AGGGGGGGGGCCUAAUCAUGCAAGUCGAGCGGACAGAUGGGUAGCUUGCUCCCUGAUGUCAGCGGCGGACGGGUGAGAAACACGUGGGUAACCUGCCUGUAAGACUGGGAUAACUCCGGGAAACCGGGGCUAAUACCGGAUGCUUGAUUGAACCGCAUGGUUCAAUUAUAAAAGGUGGCUUUUACCUACCACUUACAAAUGGACCCCCGGCGCAUUACCUAGUUGGUGAGGUAACGGCUCACCAAGGCAACAAUGCGUACCCAACCUGAAAGGGUGAUCGGCCACACUGGGACUGAAACACGGCCCAAACUCCUACGGGAGGCACCAUUAGGGAAUCUUCCGCAAUGGACAAAAGUCUGACGGACCAACGCCCCGUGAGUGAUGAAGGUUUUCGGAUCGUAAAACUCUGUUGUUAGGGAAAAACAAGUACCGUUCGAAUAGGGCGGUACCUUGACGGUACCUACCCAGAAAGCCACGGCUAACUACUUGCCACCACCCGCGGUAAUACGUAGGUGGCAAGCGUUGUCCGGAAUUAUUGGGCGUAAAGCGCGCGCAGCCGGUUUCUUAAUUCUGAUGUGAAAGCCCCCGGCUCACCCGGGAAGGGUCAUUGAAAACUGGGGAACUUGAGCGCAAAAAGGGAAG
rnacentral:rRNA from 1 species